UGUACAGUAUGUUCCUAUUCUGCGGGUUUCACCAUGUGUAUUCUAUAUUGAUUCAGCUUUUAAUUAGCUCACCGAAAGAUUUACAAACAACUCGUCUUUGUUUGCGUGGGUAACCUGUAUCAAGUUUAAAAUGUAUAGAAAUGGGAGCCUAUUUUUGGUACGAGCUAUCAUUCAUUUUCAAUGUGUUUGUUUUUUUUUCUUUACAAGUUCAGGCUAAACGACUCUCAAUUCACGGAUGAAACACGUCACGUGAUAUUGAAUAUAAUAGCCAGAGCUGUGUACCUGAAAUGAAUAGUUACAGCUUGCUCUUUCACAGAUAUGAAGAUCAUCCAUCAGCAAGUUCUAAACUCUAGUGCCACCCAUGUUUACCAAGUCGUGCCCGGCCACUGUUUCAUCUCAACUGGUAACAGACAGCCCAGCCCACCCGCUGUUUCAUGUCCUCAUGGGCUCUUCCCAAAUGCAGACACCAUGAGGUUCACCAUCAAGGCUUUUCCAGCGAUCUUCAUUUCCUCCCUCUGUUGACAGUAGAUCCCGCAGUCCACGCUGAGAGAUCAUUUUCUUGCCAGCCUCUUCCAGCUCUGUUAUCAUUGUCUGUGUACCAUUACUAAAAGUGUUAUCUUAUCUGAGCACCCGCAUCGCUCACUUCCGUGGUUUGUUUUUGAAACGACGAGUAUUAAUAUUAUGCUUUGAAUAAUAAAAAAUGUACUUUAAUUUACAAAAGGUUAGUAUUUGCUCACCCUUAAGUGGCUUUAAACCUUUAUGACUUUCUUCUGUUAAACACAAAU